rnacentral:rRNA from 1 species
UACGUAGGUGGCAAGCGUUGUCCGGAAUUAUUGGGCGUAAAGCGCGCGCAGGCGGUCCUUUAAGUCUGAUGUGAAAGCCCACGGCUCAACCGUGGAGGGUCAUUGGAAACUGAGUGACUUGAGUACAGAAGAGAAGAGUGGAAUUCCACGUGUAGCGGUGAAAUGCGUAGAGAUGUGGAGGAACACCAGUGGCGAAGGCGACUCUUUGGUCUGUAACUGACGCUGAGGCGCGAAAGCGUGGGGAGCAAACAGG